CCGCAGGCCAACUCGUCCUUCCUGGAUGUGACACGCUCCGCUCUCCAGCUACCGCGAACCGGGAAAAGCCGGGGACGCCCGGCGAGAUUCUCUUGCCAUCUGCGCCUGCGACUUGGCGGGGACCGCAACUCCCUUUAAGAGAUGGCAAAACUGAGGAGCGAAGCCACAUGGCCAAAAACGCAUUGCGAGAUACAACUAACAGGAGAGAAUUCCUAUCCCUCCAUUGUCAGUUUCUGGAGUGAAGCUCUGGAAAACCCUCCUUAGCAGGGCUCAGGAUCGGACAGGCCAAUCUCCCUCUUUUCCUGCCUGCAUCCCCUGGAUGACUCCAUUUUCCCCCACCUUGUCUUCACUCCAUCAGGGCAGGAGGCUAAGGACUGCUCCUAUUUUCUCAUUAAUAAAUCUGAUUAAAGACCAUUUAAGAGUUCUAACUCGUGGUACUUGGGAAUUUUUUAAAGCCAUGUUUGUCAAGACCUGCUCUAUAGAUCACCUGAGUCAGAAUCUCAGAGUGUCUGCUCCUUGGGCCACAGUCAUUAGAGCUGGAGAGCAUUGAUUUGAAGAAUUUGACAUUUAUCAUCCUCUGGUUGGAAAGAUUCUCCAUAGGAUCCUCCCGAGGAUGGAGAGGGCUGCUCACAUGAAUAGGUCCUGGGGCAAUUUCACCAGGAGCAGUCAUUGAGAGUGCUUCGUAAAUCUCAGCAGAAGGUGCAGGUGCCCAGUUGAACCAGCUC